rnacentral:rRNA from 1 species
CCUACGGGAGGCAGCAGUGGGGAAUAUUGCGCAAUGGAGGAAACUCUGACGCAGCGACGCCGCGUGCGGGAAGAAGGAUUUCGGUUUGUAAAGCGCUAUCAGCAGGGAAGAAGAAAGACGGUACCUGACUAAUAAGCCCCGGCUAACUACGUGCCAGCAGCCGCGGUAAUACGUAGGGGGCAAGCGUUAUCCGGAUUUACUGGGUGUAAAGGGUGCGUAGACGGGAAGUCAAGUCGGGAGUGAAAGCCCAGGGCUUAACUGAGGGACUGCUUUGGAAACUGAGUGGCUAGAGUGCUGGAGAGGAAAGUGGAAUUCCUAGUGUAGCGGUGAAAUGCGUAGAUAUUAGGAGGAACACCAGUGGCGAAGGCGGCUUUCUGGACAGUAACUGACGUUGAGGCACGAAAGUGUGGGGAGCAAACAGGAUUAGAUACCCUUGUAGUC